rnacentral:rRNA from 1 species
GUAGGUGGCAAGCGUUGUCCGGAAUUAUUGGGCGUAAAGCGCGCGCAGGUGGUUCUUUAAGUCUGAUGUGAAAGCCCCCGGCUCAACCGGGGAGGGUCAUUGGAAACUGGGGAACUUGAGUGCAGGAGAGGAAAGCGGAAUUCCACGUGUAGCGGUGAAAUGCGUAGAUAUGUGGAGGAACACCAGUGGCGAAGGCGACUUUCUGGCCUGUAACUGACACUGAGGCGCGAAAGCGUGGGGAGCAAACAGGGAUUAGAUACCCUGGUAGUCCACGCCGUAAACGAUGAGUGCUAAGUGUUGGGGGGGUUUCCCGCCCCUCAGUGCUGCAGCUAACGCAUUAAGCACUCCGCCUGGGGAGUACGGUCGCAAGACUG